rnacentral:lncRNA from 1 species
AUGCUGACUGCUGUCCCUAAGCCGUGGGGUAUGCUCAGCCUCAGCUGCUCAUUAGGCUUUGUCCGGCUCAAACAGGUGCAGGCACCGACUGGUCUGAGGGGCAUGGACGACUGUGGGAGAAAGAGGAUACUGAAUGCUGGAGCCUGUCACGCGAUUAGUGCGCCUGAGGGGCACUCUGAAGGCAGCAGCUGUGCCCUAGAAGUCUCCUGACGUCGCCGCCAGUCACCUGGCGCGCCUUCCGGGUUACCGUGCAGGCGCAGGGCAUCCUCCAUCGCCCCUCACCCCACACCUGCCCUCGCCCCUCUAGUCAGACUCACUGCGCUCUGCUAAUGGCAAUGACCUUCCUACUGACUAAGUGAAGGAAGGGUGGACCCUAGGGUGAGCAGAUCCUGCUGUAGAGUGUCGUGGCCCGAGGGUGGGCUUGGGCUGGGGGGGAGGUGGGUGCAACCCAGCACCACAGACCCCUUUAGAGGUGCGACAUGCUUCCCCUGUCCCCCAACUCUCCAUCACACUAUGCAGUGCCCCACAGGACUCACACAAUGACUUCCUUUCAGAAACUACCAGUUAACAUUUGUCUGCAAUGAGACACUGACACCCUUC